GAAAUGUUACAUUUCAUCUUUGACUGAAAUUACUGCUAAAACAGCAGUAAUAGCAACCAAAUGUACUUAUCUGUACAUCUUUUGAUAGUAUCACUGUCACAUUGUACAAUGACACCAUUGUUCACUUAAUAGAAUGAACAAUGGGUCUAGGAGGUCUAGAGUAUGAUUUUACCAUACAGUCACCUCAUUAUGUCAUGACUUGAACAGUGUUGUAAAUGUCAACCUGGAAAUGACUACUCAUUGACAUUGUUCAGUAAAGUUAAUGUGCGUCACGUUACUAUGUACGUUGCUAACCAAGGCUAUGUCCCUGGGGUGUAUAUCCCAUCAGAGAUGUGCUGGGGACCCAAAACAAAGGCUUUCCCUUUCACACUCUCACUAAGAGCGCAUGUGUGUGUAUGUGUGUGUGUGUGUGUGUGUGUGUGUGUGUGUGUGUGUGUGUGUGUGUGUGAAUGUUUUGGGGCAGAGUGGGCUGGGAGGGCUGCAUUUUCAUUGGAGGCUAAGAAAGAUCAGAAAAUCUCUCCUCAGAGAGAAAAACUGCAGAGACAGCUUGUCACCCUGGUAACCCUGCAUGGUCUCCUGAGCAACUGAGCAACAUCUCUCUCAAACGCUCCCUCCUUCUGUCUCUGUCUCUCCGCUUUGACCACUGAUAGGUCACAGCUGAGGCGUCUGCUUUCCCCAGACACAAGCAACAAAUCUACACAUCAUAGAAAAGCUCUGGGGGACUGAAACUGCAACUAUGAUAUUGCUUUGCUAGACUGACAUUGGCUACAGUAUGUGUCACAGUGCCGUAAAUGCCAUUGAGCAGAGGCCAGCCUUGCUCCACAUCAGAGAGGGCCUGAGAUAAAUAAAAAAAGAGAGAAAACAAAGGCCAUGGCAAUGUUUGCCUGUAUGUAAAUCAUUUGUAUUUGUAUUUGUAUUUGUUUGCAUGACUAGUUCUGGACAAUGCUGUGGUGCUUGUCUUUCUAGGUCACCAAACACAAUAAAACUAAUUUGAAUGUCA